GAAAGCCUGACGGAGCAAUACCGCGUGGGGGAGGAAGGUCUUUGGAUUGUAAACCCCUUUUCUCAGGGAAGAAGAACUGACGGUACCUGAGGAAUCAGCCUCGGCUAACUCCGUGCCAGCAGCCGCGGUAAGACGGAGGAGGCAAGCGUUAUCCGGAAUUAUUGGGCGUAAAGCGUCCGCAGGUGGCUAGUCAAGUCUGCUGUCAAAGACUGGGGCUUAACUCCGGGCCGGCAGUGGAAACUGGGUAGCUAGAGUGCGGUAGGGGCAGAGGGAAUUCCCGGUGUAGCGGUGAAAUGCGUAGAGAUCGGGAAGAACACCAGUGGCGAAA
rnacentral:rRNA from 1 species